GUCAGUUUGGCCGAGUGGUUAAGGCGUCAGACUUGAAAUCUGUUGGGAGUUUCCCGCGUAGGUUCGAAUCCUGCAGCUGACG
rnacentral:tRNA from 1 species